UCAAAGGCUCUUUUCAGAGCCAGAAGAAAAAAAAAUAAAAUAUAA
rfam:TPA: Bos taurus chromosome 15, whole genome shotgun sequence.